rnacentral:misc_RNA from 1 species
AAAUCAAAUUAACUGAUUCAUUAAUUUGUGCAUUAUAAACAUUUAAAAAACACAAAAUCAGGGCUUGUUAAUGAUGUUACGCCAUUGAUCCCGACAUGGAUCUAGCAACCCAGUCACGUGGUCUCUUAGCGACCAAUAAGACAGGUUUAAGCAUUAAAUUACAACAGUUCUCAAGUAAACGUCAAAGUAACAAUUUGUUAAAAGACUAGUGUUUUGUGUUACUUAUUGUUAUUGUUAAAAUAAAUAACAGUGAAACUAACAAGCGUGGGGCAACAGGAGGCGCAAUGCCCGUCGGCAGCCUAACGGGCACUUAUCGAUCCCUGACCGGUUCGAAUGCUGUUUACCGGUCCACAACGAUGGUGCCGACCGGCGCCGGGCCGCAGCCGCCGGGCCAGUCCGGCUCUGGCGGCCUCGGCCUUCUAGAUGGGUUCAAGAAAGCUUUUAGCUUUGUCUCUGGAACCUACAGCAACGCCGAGCCGGACGGAAGGGAAGAGAGACUCCUUGGAGAUGGGAGUGGACAGAGGACGAGCAUUGCUAGCGGCAGGACUGAUAGUGCUAACACUAACACAAACAGAAAAAUGCCCUCUUCCGGAUUAGCUGAAGAGGCGGCCCUUUUGGGUACUAUGCCUUCUGACAGCAUGGACGACAUUGAGCUGAAGAACAUCCAACUCCAAUUCCCGACUGCCAGAUCAUUAUCCAGGGACGACUCGUCUGUCAUGGAGGAAGUCGUCGAAACAGAUCGUGGAAACGUGGUGGUUGCUGUACAAGGUUCCAGGAACAAGCCUGCCAUUUUGACGUACCAUGAUCUUGGAUUAAAUUAUGUAUCCAAUUUCCAGGCAUUUUUCAAUUACAUUGACAUGAGAGCUUUAUUGGAAAAUUUCUGCGUCUAUCACAUCAACGCACCAGGACAGGAAGAAGGUGCUCAAACACUUCCAGAAGACUACCUUUACCCAACGAUGGACGAACUUGCUAACCAAGUCUCGUACGUAAUGACCCAUUUCGGUCUGAAACAGUUCAUAGGAUUCGGCGUCGGCGCAGGUGCGAAUAUUCUCUGCCGGUACGCCCUGAAUCGUCCAGAACACGUUUCGGCGCUGUGUCUGGUCAACUGCGCUAGUACUCAAGCUGGUUGGAUAGAGUGGGGGUACCAAAAACUUAAUACUAGACAUCUGCGUUCGAAAGGAAUGACCCAAGGUGUUUUAGAUUAUUUGAUGUGGCAUCACUUUGGUAGGCAAACCGAAGAACGAAACCAUGACCUAGUUCAAGUUUACAAAAGUUAUUUCGAACGAAACGUAAACCCCACCAACUUAGCUCUCUUUAUCGACAGUUACGUCAGAAGGACAGAUCUCAAUAUCCACAGAGAAAUGGAUCCACUCAAAAAGAAGAAUGCGAGCUUAGCGAUGCCUGUGAUGAAUAUAACUGGCUCUAUGAGUCCUCACAUGGAGGAUACUGUCACGUUCAAUGGAAGACUUGAUCCAACUAACUCAUCUUGGAUGAAGAUUUCUGAUUGCGGUAUGGUAUUAGAAGAACAACCGGCGAAAGUUAGCGAAGCAUUUAGAUUAUUCCUACAGGGCGAAGGAUACGCGAUACAUUACCAUCGACCCAGUACUUGUUAACCGAUAUGUGAUACUGUACAGAUAAACGUUUCGAGAAAAAAAUUAGAGCAUUAUAAAAUCGCUCCUCUUUCUCCAACCAAAAUGGCAAUGUUUCGUAAAGCUUCUCUAGAGGAAUUGCUCAAGUCAAAGAUGUCACCCACCGGGCAGUGGCCUGCAAGUAUCAUUCAUAUCACAGAAAAUCCUAUAUCAGCAGUCGUAUGCUAAAUGUUACCGCAAACUGUAUUGAAAUUUAUAAUUGUGACUGACGCGAUUGGUGGAAUAUUUUGGCUGUAAAUUUAAAAUUACGCAAAAGAGGACUUCAUCAAAAAUAUCGACACGGUAUAGUGGAGCGUGACGAGACAUCUCGUAACGCCAC